rnacentral:tmRNA from 1 species
CCGGUUGGGAAUUCGGCGGGAAAUCCCUAUAUUCAAGGCGUCGGGCUUGCCCGACUAUGACGAUAAACGUCUUUCGUAAUAAGCGUUCGGACCCGGGGGCAGUACCCGGCGCCUCCACCAAAUUCCCGGCCCCGCGGCCCUCGAGCCGCAGGCCUGACGGGGGCGAAACAGGAUCGACGGGCGUCUAAAGGUCUGACUUUCGUCCGGCAUGGUUCCGCCGUUAUCGGGCCGUAUCUACAGGUGCCAACGACAAUGUUGAGCCCAUCGCUGUUGCCGCUUAAUAAGCGAUAACAAGCGCGGUUCGGGGGGCACCGGGCAACAGAAGCCCCCCACU